UGGAGAAUAGACUUGUGGUUGCCAAUGGGGAGAGGGAGGGGGUGGAGUGGAUUGGGCGCUUGGGGUUAAUAGAUGCAAACUAUUGCCUUUGGAAUGGAUUAGCAAUGAGAUCCUGCUGUGUACCCCUGGGAACUAUGUCUAGUCACUUAUGAUGGAGCAUGAUAAUGUGAGAAAAUAAAAUGUAUACAUGUAUGUGUAACUGGGCAACCAUGCUGUAUAGUAGAAAAAAAAAUUGUAUUGGGAAAAUAACAAUUAAAAAAGAAUUGUUUAAAAAUCAUUAGUUGUUAGAAUAUAUAGGGAGUAGGUUUAGAGAUAAUGAGAAAGGCAAUCCAGAAAUACUCCAGACAAUAGGGCAGUAGGGCUUUCUCUUAAUGGCAAAAUAGUAGUUUUUAGGUAAGUCCAUGAACUAUGAUCUCUUAGGCUCACAGCUCUUAAUCACUCUGCUUGUCUGUUCUACAUCUUUAUCUAUGUCUUCUAUGAAGUUCCCAGUUCCAAAUAGUUUCAUUUCAUUUAACAGAAAUGUACUCAAUAACAUUUUUAUAUGUUAUGAAUGAAAUUGUAAUUUAAUUUAAAAAAUUAGAAUACCAUAUGCUUAAGUUGUUUGGUGGCUCUGAUCUUUUAAAAAUUUGUAUAGUCAUAUUUAUCAUUAUUUAAUUUUAAUAGGUUAACUGAUACAUGCUGAUUCAUAAAAAUCUGGAGCAAACCCCAAUGAAAAGCAACAAUUAAAAGUUCUUAGGGCUUUUAAAAUAAGCUUCUACAUUUGUAAUAAUGAGAGUAAAUACAAUAGGUGCUAGAAAAACUAUGACUUUAAAUAUUUUAUGAAUAGUAUCUACAGCAAGUGAAAAUAUAAAAUACAAGCUUAAGAGUGUACAUGUGUCAUGUUUAUUUUCUUUGGAGGAUUAAAAACUUCCUUUUUUGAACAAAGAAUGGGAUUCUUUAUCAAGCUCUUUUCUGUCACUGAAGUACUCACACAAUUUGCCAUCCCAAAGUAUUCAUGAAUUUUCAGUGCUUCUUAGAAUGGUUCAUAUUCUAAGCAGCUUACCUUCCAACCCAAACUUUAUUUUUUAAGGUCCCAUUGAAGUAUUGCUUAUGUUUUACUAUUUUCACAUCUACCACACCAAACCAGUAUUAGAAAAUGAAGCAAAAUAAAUUGAGCUUCAACUAGCUUUGAAUGAAAAUAUGAUGAGGUAAGAGAAACCAGGAUUCAAAACUAACAUUUAAUAAAGAUAUAAAAUAAAACAGUGAAUAUUUUCAUGAUGACAUACGUAGACAGAACAAAGCAGAAUGACAGCAAGAUUUAUGUAAAUCAACACAAAAUUUAUUAGAAGGCUGGCAGAAUGUAUAAAAUCAUGAAAUAAUUUUCCAAAACCAAAGAUCAGAGAAAAAAAAUGGUUUUUUUUUUUUUUACUUUGAGGACAACUAAAUUUCUCCUAGGUGUUUUUUAAAAUUCUAUUCUAAUUGAAGUAUAGUUGAUUUACAAUAUUGUGUCAGCUUCCAGUGUACAGCAAAGUGAUUCAGUUUCAGAAUAUGUAGAUAUUCUUUUCCAGAUUAUUUGCCAUUAUAGGUUAUUACAAGGUAUGGGAUAUAGUUCCCUGUGCUAUACAUAAGGAACUUUUUAAAAUCAAUUUUAUUUUUACUUUAAAUCAAUUUUAUUUUUACUUUAAAUCAAUUUUAUUUUUAGUUUUAAAACAGUGUUAAUCUGUUAAUCCCAAGCUCCUAAUUUAUCCCUCCCCAAUUUCCCUUUUCAUAACCAGAAGUUUAUUUUCUAUGUCUAUCAGUCUAUUUAUGUUAUGUAAAUAAAUUCAUUUGUAUCUUUUCUAGGUUCCACAUAUAAGCAACAUCAUAUGAUAUUCAUCUUUGGAUUGCUUAUAAUAAUUAUAAUAAUCUCUAGAUCUGUCCAUGUUGGUGCAAAUGGUAUUAUUUCAUUCCUUUUAAUGGUGAGUAAUAUAAUAUUCCACUAUAUAUAUAUCUAUAUAUAAAUGUAAUUUAUAUAUCUAUAUCUAUAUAUCUUCUGUAUCCAUUUGUCUGCCAAUGGACAUUUAGAUUGCUUCCAUGUUUUUGCUAUUGUAAAUAGUGCUGCUGUAAGCCAUGGGGCGCAUGUAUCAUUUCAAAUUUGAGUUUUUAUCUUUUCCAGAUAUAUACCUAGGAGUGAGAUUGCUGGAUCAUAUGGUAACUCUAUUUUUAGUUUUUUUAAGGAACUUCUAUACUCUUUUCCAGAGUGGUUGCACCAAUUUACACUCCCACUGACAGUGUAGGAGAGUUCUCUUUUCUUCAUACACUCUCCACCGCUUUGUAUUUUUAAACACUUUAGUGAUGUCAAUUAUGACAGGUGUGAGGUGAUGCCUCAGGGUAGUUUUGAUUUGCGAUUCACUAAUAAUGAGUGGUCUAGCAUCUUUUCAUGCACCUAUUGGCCAUCUGUAUUUUUCUUUAGAGAAAUACCUAUUUAGAUCUUCUGCCCAUUUUUUCUAUUGGGUUGUUUGUAUUUUCGCUAUUGAGUUGUUAUGAGCUGAUGGUAUAUUUCAGAAAUUAAGCCCUUGUGAGUCACAUCCUUUGCAAAUACUUUAUCCCAUUUCGUAGGUUGUCUUUUUGCUUUGUUUAUAGUUUCCUUUGUUGUGCAAGAGCUUAUAUAUUUGAUUAGAGCCCAUUUGUUUAUUUUUACUACUUUGGAAGACUGACCUAAGUCAACAUUGUUAUGAUUUAUGUCAAGAAUGUUUUGCCUAUGUUUUCUUCUAGAAGUUUUACGGUGUUGUGUCUUAUAUUUAAGUGUUUAAGCCAUUUCGAGUUUAUUUUUGUGUGUAGUGUGAGGGAGUUUUCUAACUUCAUUGAUUUACCUGGGGCUGUCCAGCUUUCCCAAUACCACUUGUUGAAAAUAUUGUCUUUUUUUCAUUGUGUAUUCUUGCCUCCUUUGUCAAGGAUUAAUUGACCAAAGGGAUCAAGAUGGCAGAGGAGUAAUACAUGGCCAUAAAUGCUCUCACCUUCUCCCGCAAACACAUAAAAAAAACCCAUCUACAUGUAGAAUGUUUGGCAGAACAUCUACUGAAAUCUGGCAGAAUGCCUUCAACCUCUGAAAGGGCAAGAAACCCUCCACAUAACUGGGUAGAACAAAAUGAAAAAAAAAAAAAAGAGAGAGAGGGAGAGAGGAAAAGAAAGAAAGAAAAAAA
rnacentral:lncRNA from 1 species